AGCGAACGCUGGCGGCAGGCCUAACACAUGCAAGUCGAACGAAGUCUUCGGACUUAGUGGCGGACGGGUGAGUAACACGUGGGAACGUGCCUUUAGGUUCGGAAUAACUCAGGGAAACUUGUGCUAAUACCGAAUGUGCCCCUCGGGGGAAAGAUUUAUCGCCUUUAGAGCGGCCCGCGUCUGAUUAGCUAGUUGGUGAGGUAAAGGCUCACCAAGGCUACGAUCAGUAGCUGGUCCGAGAGGAUGACCAGCCACAUUGGGACUGAGACACGGCCCAAACUCCUACGGGAGGCAGCAGUGGGGAAUCUUGCGCAAUGGGCGAAAGCCUGACGCAGCCAUGCCGCGUGGAUGAUGAAGGUCUUAGGAUUGUAAAAUCCUUUCACCGGUGAAGAUAAUGACUGUAGCCGGAGAAGAAGCCCCGGCUAACUUCGUGCCAGCCGCCGCGGUAAGAC
rnacentral:rRNA from 1 species